rnacentral:rRNA from 1 species
UACGUAGGGUGCAAGCGUUAUCUGGAAUCACUGGGCGUAAAGCGUGCGUAGGUGGCGCGUUAAGUGAGAUGUUAAAUCGUGUGGCUCAACCAUAUCGAUGCAUCUCAUACUGGCGUGCUAGAGGGAAGCAGAGGCAAGUGGAAUUUGUAGUGUAGCAGUGAAAUGCGUAGAUAUUACAAGGAACACCAAUGGCGAAGGCAGCUUGCUGGGCUUCUUCUGACACUGAGGUACGAAAGCGUGGGGAGCGAACAGG